UACGGAGGGUGCGAGCGUUAUCCGGAAUUACUGGGUUUAAAGGGUGCGUAGGCGGCCAGGUAAGUCAGGAGUGAAGGUUUGCGGCUCAACCGUAAAAUUGCUUUUGAUACUGCCAGGCUAGAAUUAGGAUGAGGUCAGCGGAAUGUGGCAUGUAGCGGUGAAAUGCAUAGAUAUGCCAUAGAACACCAAUUGCGAAGGCAGCUGGCUAGACCUGGAUUGACGCUGAGGCACGAAAGCGUGGGGAGCGAACAGG
rnacentral:rRNA from 1 species